rnacentral:rRNA from 1 species
GACGAACGCUGGCGGCGUGCUUAACACAUGCAAGUCGAACGGAAAGGCCCUGCUUUUGUGGGGUGCUCGAGUUGCGAACGGGUGAGUAACACGUGAGUAACCUGCCCUUGACUUUGGGAUAACUUCAGGAAACUGGGGCUAAUACCGGAUAGGAGCUCCUGCUGCAUGGUGGGGGUUGGAAAGUUUCGGCGGUUGGGGAUGGACUGGCGGCUUAUCAGCUUGUUGGUGGGGUAGUGGCUUACCAAGGCUUUGACGGGUAGCCGGCCUGAGAGGGUGACCGGCCACAUUGGGACUGAGAUAGGGCCCAGGCUCCUACGGGAGGCAGCAGUGGGGAAUAUUGCACAAUGGGCGGAAGCCUGAUGCAGCAACGCCGCGUGCGGGAUGACGGUCUUCGGGUUGUAAACCGCUUUCGCCUGUGACGAAGCGUGAGUGACGGUAAUGGGUAAAGAAGCACCGGCUAACUACGUG